rnacentral:tRNA from 7 species
GGGGUUGUAGCUCAGUUGGGAGAGCGCUUGAAUGGCAUUCAAGAGGUCAGGGGUUCGACUCCCCUCAGCUCCACCA